AGGAAGUAAAAGUCGUAACAAGGUUUCCGUAGGUGAACCUGCGGAAGGAUCAUUAUCGAAUUAUAAGUGAGGGUUGUAGCUGGCCUCCCUUUCGAGGCAUGUGCACGCCUGAGCUCUUAAAUCCACAACACACCUGUGAACCCACCGUAGGCCUUCGGGCUUAUGUAUCAUAUACUCUGAAUGUGUCAUAGAAUGUUCAUGUUGCCUUAAAACGCAAUCAAAUACAACUUUCAACAACGGAUCUCUUGGCUCUCGCAUCGAUGAAGAACGCAGCGAAAUGCGAUAAGUAAUGUGAAUUGCAGAUUUUCAGUGAAUCAUCGAAUCUUUGAACGCACCUUGCGCUCCUUGGUAUUCCGAGGAGCAUGCCUGUUUGAGUGUCAUUAAAUCCUCAACCCCACCGAUUUGCUUCGGGGGGAUUGGACUUGGAGCGUGCUGGCGAAGGUCGGCUCCUCUUUAAAUGCAUCAGCGGAGAAGAAAGCUCGUCCCAGUGUGAUAAUCCUGUUGCGCUGUGGUGGGGUGAAAAUUCCGCUUCCAACCGUCCUCCGGGACAAGACAUCUCAAUUUGACCUCAAAUCAGGUAGGACUACCCGCUGAACUUAAGCAUAUCA
rnacentral:rRNA from 1 species